rnacentral:snoRNA from 1 species
UAGGCGGCUUUCAGGGAUCAUUUCUGUAGUUGGUUACUAGAGAACUUUCUGUGAAAGUGUAGAGCACAGAGAUGAGGAGAGAAGAGAGGAGAUGCAGUUUUCUCCUGAGUGUGAAGCCGGUGUUGCUUUCACCAUUGAUGUUUCUUCUCCUCCGGGGGGAAGUGAGAGGGAGAGGACACAGGCUGA